rnacentral:misc_RNA from 1 species
ACCUACUGUUUAAUUUUGAGGGUUCGUUUUUACGAAUACUCAAAAUUAGCACUUUAAGCAACAGAAUAAACUGAACGCAUGUGAAGUUUGUUUGUUGGCGCUGUGCGUUAGCACUUUAAGUAACGGAAUAAUCUGAGUGAAUACGAAGGUUGUUCGUUGACGUGGUGCGUUAGCACUUUAAGCAACUGGAUUUAUCCGUUGGCGCCGUGCUUUAGCACUUUGAAAACUGCAUAUAUAUUUAGUGAUAUGACAUCUAAUUUGUAAUAUAUAAAGCUGAUAACUUUUUAAAAUUAUCAAAUUUAAUACUUUCAAUCCAAUCAAACCUUUUUAAUGGGCCAA